UUCCAGCACUGCUAAAUCUCUCAGGUGCUGGAUUCCUUCAUCUGCAGUGGUCUGCUUUCCUGGGGACUCCACAAGAUCUUCCUUAAAUGAACAUCUUGCCCAGCACAGCAAGGCCAUCAGUGCCAGGGUGAAGCACAGAGCCACUGGCUGUGUUUUGUCUGGACAGUUCCCAGGAAGCAAGGCUUCAGCUCCCACAGCAGUGGCUCCAGAAGCGAAAUGUUGUAAACAAAGAACGCCCUCACUUCCAACUCCUUUUGGCUUUUGUGUCCGAGCUGAUGAUACAUGGUCAAUGUGGGUCCACUGUCCUAUUAGCGUCCCCUGCUGUGAUCCUGCCAAGUGCCAGCCUGCUGCCUCAGGCUGGGGUGCUGAGAGACAGCGCUGGUGCUGAGCCAGCCCUGCUCUGCAGCAGCCACAACUCUGGGCUGUUACCAACUCCCUUCCGGCUCCUGGGGCAAAGCACAGCCCUGGGAGGGCUGCCUGGGGAAAAUGAGCUCCAGCUCAGCCAGACCCAAUAUAAUCAUCUGGAUGAUUCAUCUGGGAUUCUCAGCAUAGGGAGAACAUUAGGACCAUUGAGAGAAGGAAAGCUGAAUUGCUCUGAAUGACUGACACAGGCUUUAUUCUGCUAUGGCUGCUGUGGAGGAUGCUGGAUCAGAAAAGUGGUGUGUCGGGUACCAGCAGCAAGUUUUGGGAACCAUCCAAGCCCUAUUUGAGGACCUGGAAUAUAAUGGAUUAUU